rnacentral:rRNA from 1 species
CGGCGGAGUGGGUGAGUAUCACGUGGGCAACCUGCCUGUAAGAUUGGGAUAACUCGUGGAAACGUGAGCUAAUACCGAAUGAAGUCUUUCACCGCCUGGUGAAAGGAAUGAAAGAUGGCUCUUGAGCUAUCACUUACAGAUGGGCCCGCGGCGCAUUAGCUAGUUGGUGAGGUAAAGGCCUACCAAGGCGACGAUGCGUAGCCGACCUGAGAGGGUGAUCGGCCACACUGGGACUGAGACACGGCCCAGACUCCUACGGGAGGCAGCAGUAGGGAAUCUUCCGCAAUGGACGAAAGUCUGACGGAGCAACGCCGCGUGAAGUGAUGAAGGUCUUCGGAUCGUAAAACUCUGUUGUCAGGGAAGAACAAGUUGUGUUCUAACAGGACAUGACCUUGACGGUACCUGACCAGGAAGCCCCGGCUAACUACGUGCCAGCCGCCGC